UAUGAUGGAGAGCAGCUCAGCAACAACAUCAGCCUCUUCUCUCAGAACACUGGCAUGGAUAUCAUCUGGCCCCUUGGAACUUAUAUACAUUCAGUUGCAUGAGGAGGUCUCAGAAUUGUUCCACUAUUACAGUGGGAUGGAAUCUGCUCCCCACACCCACAAGUAGAAAUUCAGGGCCCUGGCAGACAUGGGGAGGAGUCUAAUCACCAGUGAAGACUGAGGCAAAGCACUCAUUGAGUACGUCAGCUUUUUCUGUCUGAAGAAACCAGCUCUCUGUUACCUUUUAUCAGAGGGGGAACACUUUCCUUGGCCUGUCUCCUCCUGCCUAUGUACCUUUAGAACCCCUUUUUGUUAUCUUUCACAUCCCUUGCCAAGUUCAGCUCCACCUGUGCCUUGGCUUUCCUAAUCCUGUCUCUGCACACACAGACAACAGACCUGUAUUCCUCCCAGGCUACACAACCCUUCUUUCACUUCUUAUACACUUCCCUCUUUUCUCUCAGUUUAAACUUCAGGUCUUUGCAUAGCCAUGCCUGUUGCCUGCUUCCCCUGCUUGACUUCUGGGCAAUGGAGAGCCACUGUGCUUUCAGAAGGGUGUCCUUAAAGAGCUGACAGCUCUGUUCUGUGCCCAUGCCCUUAAGUACAGUUUCCCAGGGAAUCCCACUCAGCAGUUCCUUGUGCAGCCAAACUUUGCUCUCCAAAAGCACAAGAUCCUGACUCUGCUUUUUGCCAGUCCUGCAUUACUGGAGAUCACAAACUCCACCAGGACACAGUCAUUGCACCCAGGCUGCCUCCAGUCUUAGCCUUUUUAAUGCUCUCCUCUGCAUUGGUGAGCACCAGGUCCAGUAAGGCUUCACCUCGGGUCGGGUAGAUCAGUUUUUGUUCAAUAUGCAGACUAAAGACUUGCAGUGAACUCAAUGGAUUUUAAGGAUAAUUCUGAUAUGAAUACACUACCAAUUCUCUUUGUUCUUGUUCUUAAAAUUGUGAAUGGAAUUGUCUAAGCCAGCACUCACUGUGGACUACAAGAAACAUUGUUACUAUUUCUUCUUUCUGUUUCUAUUUGAAAACUAGUAUUUAGAAGUGAUGUAUUGAUUUCUUUUUUCCUGUGCACGGCAUAUUUUAAGAGCUCGAUAGAAAAUGUAAUUGCCACGUAUUCAAGUAGGUUCUUAAAGCUGUAAAUGUUAAAUUUACGCUUAAUGGAACCUAAGAAAGCACAAUGUAUAUGUUGUUUAUAAUUGUAUACCAUUGUAUAAGUCUAAUAGGCAGAAAAUGAUUAUGUUGGAUCAUCUAGGAAUAUGUUUAAGGAGGUAAUUCCUGAACCAAUUCUAAUUUUGGUGAUAGUUUGGCUACUACUAAGUGUAGAUCUGGCAUAUAACCUUUGCAGAUUCUGCCUCCAAGAGCUAAAUUUCUGAUUUAUAGUUGUUAUUAAGGAGAGUAUGAAAUUUAAUGGACAGGAAGAAGUGAUUCUCUUGAUACGUACCAGUAACUGCAAAUCUCAAGAGUUGUGUUAGCAUUAUGAAGCUUACUUUAUGAAUUUUACCAGAUUAAUGAGUAAAUAAAAUUGCCCUUUUUAUGUAAAGUUAUUUCCUGUAUUUUUAGUUAAGAACUAACAACAUAAAUUUUUCUUUUACAGGUUAAUUAUGGCAAAGUCUGUAAUGAAAGUAGAAAAGGACUCAAAUUCAGCGUCUCUUGUGGCUGUAGUCCAGACUUUGCCUUUGUCCCAUAUAAAAGUACUAUUGCUGUUUAUACAGUUUUCUCAGGAGAAUUGGUAACUAUGCUUCGAGGUCAUUAUAAUACUGUUGACUGCUGUGUAUUUCAACCUAACUUUCAGGAACUUUAUAGUGGUAGCAAAGAUUGCAAUAUCCUUGCAUGGAUACCAGCUCUUCGAGAACCAGUUCUUGAUGAUGUUUCAGAGAAGUCUCUGCGUCGGCAGCACUUAAAUCCAGCAUAUGAAGAUGCGUGGAGCAGCAGUGAUGACGAAGACUGAAUUUCAAUUACAUACUGAUAUAAAAUUGACAUUCAGGCGCUGCAUUCAAGGACUUUAUCUGCAGAAGUGGAUAUUGGUAGAUUUGUUGUGACGGGAUUCCUGAUACUAUUCUCUUAAAGCAGAGUCAGAAACGAGAUUCAGAAACAAGAUUCUGUUUCUUGUCUUCUUUCUUCACUGUUACCUUUACAUCUAAAGAUUUACUUUUUAUGUUUUUUUUUUUAAAUACUUUUUCCACUGGUCUUCUUUUUUCAGUAUUGAACAACUGAUAAAGGAAAAUUUAAAUCCCUUGGGACCAGUUAGCAUUGCACUGUUUGUAAUACAUAAAGAGGUAAUCCCUUCAUUUCAGAGAGAUGAUACAGAGGAUUUUGCCUUAAGAAGGACUAGCUCAGGGAUACUUUUUUACAAUGUCUAGAUUAGGAGACUGGGUCCAUUUUCAACUGCUUAUAUACUUUGGGAGCUAACAGAAUUUUGUGCUCUUCUUUUAAAUUUUAUCAGUUCCGCAGAAGUUUCUCUAGAAAUGCAGUAUUCAGUCCAGAAAGAAGCAUAGCUGGGAUCAUUAAUUCAGGUAUUUGUUUGGUGACCCCAUCAACUUCUAUCUUAAUCUGUACUAUAAAAUUAAGAGUAGAGGCUAGGGUUUCAUUAGGGUUUUUAUUGCUGCUGUUAAGAGGUUUUUAAGAUCAGCAAAUAAGUUCUACAAAUAACUCUCACAUCUCUAGCCAACGUGGAGAAUUUGUGGACAGAGACAGACAUUAUGUACAGUACAAGGCAAAGAAAGGAUCACAUUUCAAGUUAGACAUAGAAAACCUAGUCCUUCAAAACUGCUUUCUUCUGAAUUUGUAGUCCAAAGCUGGUCUGUUUUGGAAAGGAGGAGUUGUGUGGAAUCAUUGUCUAAUCUCAGUCACUAGCUUUUGCCUGAGACAUGGCAUAAUCACCAGUUGGGGACUUGAGCUGGUUAGACAGAAACGCAGUUUAUUCAGGAAAAGAAUAAAAAAACCUUUCCAAACCAGAGGUAAUGGUAGGACAACAAACUCAAAUAGAAGGAAAAAAUGUUGUAUACAUAAAUGAAAGAAAACAAGUCAAUCUUUUUAUGAUGUGUAUUGUUAGUGUGAUUAUUAUGCAUAUUAUAGUUAAUACACUAUCCUUUUGUAUUUAAUAUUUAUACAAGGUAACAACUGUCAAUUUUUGUAGCAAUGUAGAAGCCAGAAUAAUACAAAGUGAGAAGUGCACGUGUCAGGGAAAUGCUAUAACUAAACAAGUUUGAUAUGUAAUGUGAAUUUGCUGGUGGAGACAGAAAAUUUAGCUUGCCCUGUUAAAUCAAGCUGUAAAGUGGAAAACUUCCCAGAGUUUCAGAUUAAGUUAGUUUAAGGACCAUUUCUGAGACUAGAUGAGUGAAUUUUCUACUUGUUAAAAAAUGAUCAUUUUCAUUACAGUGGUGGCUGUUCCAUCUAAGAGUGGAAAACUUAGAGAACGUAUUUGAGGCAAAAUUACAUGUUUUGAUUUUUCUUUUAAAAAAUAUGUGCUAUUAAAGCGACCUUUUUGUGUGUUACAAUUGUGCUUAUAAUUUGUAUAUGCCAACUGCAGUUCAUGUAUUUGGUAUUUGGAUUUCUGAAAUGUUGCUCGGUAAGUCAUAGCAGUGCUGGUUAGCAAAGAAUAAAUUCAUUAUUUUUUCAAUAC